CAGUUGAUUGUCACUUUGUUUGUUAGCCUUUUUGAAGACUGUUUAGGGCAGCUUUGGAGUAUUUUUUUUCAGCUGACCCACUUUGCUCCGUUUAGCAGAUUGAUUCUGAAACUGACUGACUAAUUCAAUCUAGAAGCUUGUGUUUGGGAAGCUUGGUGCUCCUUUAGUGUUUUCUUUUGACUUGUUUUUAGUUUUAGACUGAUUUGUUUGGUUACUUAAUUGCUGAAGCUACACUUGACUGCUCCCUCACUUUCCCCCAUUAGUUGGGUCCAAGUGUACUGUUUUGUUUGAAACACUUAUUUGUAAUAAAAUUUCACCUUUUCUUUUUCUCUGUAAACAUUUUUACGUUGUCACUCCCUGAAUUCCUAGACCUGGAGUCGUGACGACAUCUUUUCUCCCAUAAUAGAUUAUCCUAUUUACUCAGAUUAUACUGGUCUGGAAUUAAAAAUUGCUUGAUCUGAAACAUUUAAAUUUGGGGGAAAAAAAAGAGUGAAUGUACUGUAUUUCGCAGCCUCCAGUCAGUAAAUGUUUAGAGGGCUUUUUUUUGUCCUGUCCUGUGUCAUAGUCUUAGAUAAACUGUAGUAGGUCUUGAUUGAUUUAACAUUCGCCUCCAGAUGGAGCUCAAACUGUUGCCACUCGGUGCUGUAAAAAAUGCACGUAUGCUUUAUCAGAAGUGGUGGAGUGUGGUAAGAUGGAUGCUAGAUUUUGCAAAGAUAACUAACAUAUUUUAGGUCAUAGUUUCAAGCUCCAGUCAGAACGAUUGGCCCAUUUGCUUUCGAUGUCAAUCAGUUCAGGCUGGCUUCUAUUUCCAGCUUAACAAAAUAGCAAUGAAGUGUUGCAACUUCAGCUGGGUAAUAAUCAUAUUAGUAGAAUACUUGUGUUUGUCUUUACGUUCUCUUUGAUUGUUGGAUAUCUUUCAUCUACUAAUAUUUUGUGCACAGCACGAAGUAAUAAUAACUUUUCUGCACUCUAACAACAAAAGGCAGUUCCCCAGGAGCAGAAGUAUGCACAAACUGACACCAACAGGAUUUUUUUUUUCUGUCACAUUUUCCCUUUACUAAUGCGUGGGUUCAAGUUAAAAGCUCGCCUCUAAUUAUUUCCCAUGUGCCUACACACCAGUCAUUUUGUCAUGUCACACAGGAAAAGGAUGUCUUACUUUAGUAAUAAACUAAUAAUAUCUCGUUUCAAUAAAGUUGCUCGUAGAAUAAUUGUCACAUGAUUAGUUUGUUUCAUGGUGUGUGUGAUCUGGCUUUAGCAGAUCAGUGUCAAAAACUUCAAGAGGAACUUCAUUCAGUUUCUCAUGCAAGCAGCUCAUUUUGCAUAUCUAAACAAUGAAGGUGGUCAUUGUUUCCUGGACAGCAGAAAUUGGAGGCGUAAAUUUCUUGGUAAAUAUACAAUUCUAUAGUGGAAAGUAAGUGAGCCAGAUAAGACUUCUUCAUCAUCCUGUCCCAAUUUGGUGUUUCCCUUUCUGACGUUGCCGACCACAGUGCUGUGACACAGAUAUAAGCAGCAGUAUUGAGACAAUGCAGGAGAAUCGAGUUCUUCUGCUGAACCUGAUAGAGCUGACUUAGUAGCUUCUUUAGAGACAGACAUGAACACCUCUGCGUUUCAGUGCUCCGUAUUUAUUGGUGUGAUGAUGGUCGUGGCGGUGUAUUCAGCAUCAGUGCACAGCUGUCCAGACAAGGAGAAGUGUGACAUUCUGCUGCGCCACAUUAAGAAUGCAUCUAACAAACUGUUAACCCAGGACCUAAAUGGACUGGUGCCAAGGGUUUAUAAUGAAGCGUGUAGGCCCCACUUCUUCUGCUUGGCGGAAAAGGUUGUGGAAAAGAAUCUUACUCAACCCAGGUUUAAAGACCUACGGAAGUACUUGCAUGAAUACAACAAUAGAACUCAGACCAACUGCCAACUGAACGAUGAAAUGGGUUAUCAUCAACUAAGACAGUUUGUUCUGAAUGUGAAGAAAUGCGCAAAUCGUCUCCUAAAUAAUACCAGAUGAAGGGACCCGAUGAAGAAUUAUGCACCUUAAGUUAUUGUAAUAUUUAUUUUUUAUAUUUAUAUAUUUCAAAAGUACAUUAAUAAAUCAAAAUGUGAUAAAUGUGUUAUGCAAGCUUUUUUUUUUUUUUUUUUUUUUAAUUUUUAGAUUAAGCCAGACUAAGAUCUUUAAAUGAACAGACAUAAUUUCACAGGGAACCUGGGUGCAUUACAUCACUUUGUGACAUCACCACUCAACAAGAACCUGAGAUCAGACAUGAAUAAUUUAUUAAAUAAAAUCCAGAUGUUUGUUGGUGUAAACAUUUGACAUACACUACAACAACAACAAAAAAAGCUAGCUUACAUCCACUUAAGACCAAAACAUAAAAAAGCCAUACAAGUGCAUAAGGGAUACAGAUACAUAGAUUUAUGGUGCAUCACAACAAGUGUUGAAAAUAAAAACUUGACUGAAGUGAAGGAAAUGGCACAGACAUAAGAGCUAAACGGCAUGCAUGCCCUUAAUGCUUCUGACCUAUUAAAGAAAACAGUUUAGAAAGUUUUACGCGCUUCAGCUGAAUUGAACUAAAUUGCAAUAGAACAAUUUGACCAACUAGAAUCCGAUUAGAGUGUAUUCAGUUUUUCAUUGAACAGAAAUAUGUUAAUUUAUGAGAAGCAAAACAGUCAAAGUUUAAUUUCUGAGAUAAAUGUGUUUAACAGGACACUUGGAAGCAGCUUUAAAGGUGUUGCUGUUUGUAGGCCAGCGUUGUGAUGUCAUUUCAAACAAUCUGACUGAAGCGCCUUGCAAAAGCCUUAACUCCCCUUGUACCAGUUCUCAUUUUGUCACGAUAUAACAAAAACUUUAAAUUAUUCAUAGACAAUCCAAAGGUGCUGAAUAUUAAAAAUGUAAAGGAAAUGGUACAUAGUUUCCAAAAAGUGUGGCGUGCAUUUGUUUUCAGCCCAUUUCCUUCUGAUAUCCCUAGAUAAAAUGCAACAUAACUUCAGAAGUCACCUCGGUGUAAAACAAAGCCCAUCUAUAUGUGAUUUAAUCUCAGUAUAAAACUGCUUUAUGAAGGAAGAAUGUUAACAGGUCAGUCUCAAGUAGCUCUGCAGGAGCUGCAGAGCUCCACAGCUCAGUUGGAAGACCCUGUUGUCAGGUCAACUACUAUUUGCACACAUCUGGUCUUUGAAUGCCACUGCUGAAAUAAAGCCCUGUUGCAGUUUGUUGCAGACCAAUUAGAGGAUCCAGCU